rnacentral:rRNA from 1 species
UACGUAGGGUGCGAGCGUUGUCCGGAAUUAUUGGGCGUAAAGAGCUUGUAGGCGGUCUGUCGCGUCUGCUGUGAAAAUCAGGGGCUCAACCCCGGACUUGCAGUGGGUACGGGCAGACUAGAGUGUGGUAGGGGAGACUGGAAUUCCUGGUGUAGCGGUGAAAUGCGCAGAUAUCAGGAGGAACACCGAUGGCGAAGGCAGGUCUCUGGGCCACUACUGACGCUGAGAAGCGAAAGCAUGGGGAGCGAACAGG